GAAGAAAUAAAGAUUUUAGAAAUAAUUUAAAAUUUGUAGAAAUUGAGAAUUAUUAUCCCAGAAACUUAUGCUGGGGGAAAACACUAUAGGAAUGUGGCAAGGAAUUAUCACGUUUAACUAGACUGAUGAAGAAAAUUGUUAGAAUGUUAAAGACUAAAAAGGAAAAAAAAACCAGAAAGGAGGAGAUUUUGAUAAUUCAAGGAGGAAAUUACUCAUAUCGAGUCUAUAAUGGUGACUUUAGGGAAAAAGGAAAAGAAACUUAACUUAGCAAGACUUAAAUGUAUAUAUUUAGCAACAAGUCAGAUGAUCAGAGUAAAUGAUGAGUACAAGUCAAAAGUGGCUGAGAUUUCAUUAUUUGGAAGAAGCUGAGCACAUUGGAGGAUUAUGCAGGAGCUGGAAAUAUAAUGGUGAACAAAAUGGUUGGUUCCUGCUCUGUCAGAAGUUAAGGUUUAGUGAGGAAGAUAAAACCAAGCAAACAAGCAACAAAGACCUGUUUGAAAUGUGGUGGUUUCAACAAGGUCUCAGUUUCCUCCCUUCUGCCCUAGUAAUUUGGACAGCUGCUGCUUUCAUAUUUUCAUACAUUACGGCCAUAACACUUCACCAUGUUGACCCUGCUCUGCCUUAUAUCAGUGAUACUGGUACAGUAGCUCCAGAAAAAUGCUUGUUUGGGGCAAUGUUAAAUAUUGCUGCAGUUUUGUGCAUUGCAACCAUUUAUGUUCGUUACAAGCAAGUUCAUGCCCUGAAUCCUGAAGAGAGUCGUAUCAUCAAAUUAAACAAGGCUGGCCUUGUACUUGGAUUACUGAGUUGUUUUGGACUUUCUGUUGUGGCAAACUUCCAGAAAACAGCCUUUUUUAUUGUACACGUAUGUGGAGCUGUGCUCACCUUUGGCAUGGGCUCGUUAUACAUGUUCGUUCAGACCAUCCUUUCCUACCAAAUGCAGCCCAAAAUUCAUGGCAAACAAGUCUUCUGGAUCAGACUACUGGUGGUUAUCUGGUGUGGAGUAAGUGCAUUUAGCAUGCUGACUUGCUCAUCACUUUUGUACAGUGGGAAUUUUGGCACAGAUAUUGUACAGAAACUCCAUUGGAACCCUGAGGACAGAGUAAGAAAACACAACAUUAUAUUUAUGUAAACUUCCCUCAGGUGGAAUAAAAGAAGAUGCUAUAGUCAAGUCUCCAACAUUUUUGAAAAUUAACUUCAUAAGCAGCGAUGCCAUAAGAAGAGCUGCUCAGAAAAUUUCUUUACGAGUGGAAGCCAAUUUACAUGGAUUAACCCUCUAUGACACUGCUCCUUGCCCUGUUAACAAUGAGCGAACGCGACUACUUUCCAGAGAUUUAUGAUGAAGGGAUAAAAUACAUCUGUGAUGAUUACGAUUCUCAGGGAUUUGGGGGAAAUGUUCAUGAAAGUUCCUUAUUCUGCUUUGAAAUUUUUAACCAGUUAAUCAAGGCUGACAGUGAUAUUGAUGAAUACUGAUAAUCAAGAGACAUGAAUAAAGCCAUUUGAUAAGUUAUUUUCAAGGAUAUCUUCAAGAAGACCCUGUAAAAACAUUUAUGUCUAUACGUUCUUUUUAAUCCCAGAAAAUAAAACCAAAGGACUACAACAA